GUAUUUAAGUGUUUUUGCACAUAAAUUUUUGAUAUUUAAAGAUUUAAUUAAAAUUAAAAAAUACAAA
rnacentral:tRNA from 1 species